GCACGUAUAACUUGUACAUCUUUUACCAUGUAUGUUAUAUAUUAAUAGAAUUUAUUUAAACAUAUUUAUAGGGUCCAGCUAUGUACAAACUGAAUCAAGAUUCUAUGUACAUCAGAAUCAAGAGAGAGUGAGUUCUUGACAUCACGGAGCGGUCUACAUUCUAGUUCAUGCGGUGGACCUGCUGGGUGGCCUCAGAGACUUUUAUGCGAGUGUGAGGGCCAGCAGGUGCACAUUUGAAGCUCAGUGGGAAGUGUUUUCCAAGCAACAGGAGACAGCAGAUGCAGAUGGGGUCCAAUUACUGCUGCUCACGGCUGAUCACGCCAUGCACUUGUGUGCGGAUACCUGGCUCCUGGUCUCAGGCACCUAGUAUGGGGCUAUGCACACGGGAACGCUCAUGGAUUCCUGAGAAGUUGGCUGGAACUAAGGGAGCAUUCAGAGACCACAGAUCCAGUUGACUGGUCCCUGCUGACAUCCAGUCCACGUUGUUGGCCACAUCAGCUCCUCUUCAAACUCAUGAUGCAAAUCAACAGCUAAACAUGUUGAUAUUUUUUGUUUCUCUCAGCUAAGUGGAUCCCUGAGUCCUCCUGGUGCAGUGGAAAGAUUUGAGUUUUGCAGCCAAAUAGAGUGAGGUUUAAAUGGUGGCUAAGCG
rnacentral:lncRNA from 10 species